GGCUUCAUAGUUCAGUUGGCUAGAACGUUUGCUAAACUAAUACCUUCUCAUUUCUGUCAUUGGUUCAAAUCUCAUUGAGGCCG
rnacentral:tRNA from 1 species